rnacentral:rRNA from 1 species
GACGAACGCUGGCGGCGUGCUUGACACAUGCAAGUCGAACGGAAAGGCCCUGCUUUUGGGGGGUGCUCGAGUGGCGAACGGGUGAGUAACACGUGAGUAUCCUGCCCUUGACUUUGGGAUAACUUCAGGAAACUGGGGCUAAUACCGGAUAGGAGCUCCUGCUGCAUGGUGGGGGUUGGAAAGUUUCGGCGGUUGGGGAUGGACUCGCGGCUUAUCAGCUUGUUGGUGGGGUAGUGGCUUACCAAGGCUUUGACGGGUAGCCGGCCUGAGAGGGUGACCGGCCACAUUGGGACUGAGAUACGGCCCAGACUCCUACGGGAGGCAGCAGUGGGGAAUAUUGCACAAUGGGCGGAAGCCUGAUGCAGCAACGCCGCGUGCGGGAUGACGGCCUUCGGGUUGUAAACCGCUUUCGCCUGUGACGAAGCGUGAGUGACGGUAAUGGGUAAAGAAGCACCGGCUAACUACGUG